GAUGAACGCUAGCGGCAGGCCUAAUACAUGCAAGUCGAACGGAGUGGAGCAGCAAUGCUUCACUUAGUGGCGCACGGGUGCGUAACGCGUAUGCAACCUACCUUUUAUUGGGGGAUAGCCCGAAGAAAUUCGGAUUAAUACCGCAUAAUAUCAUUUGAGGGCAUCUGAGGAUGAUGAAAGCUUUGGUGAUAAAAGAUGGGCAUGCGUGUCAUAGCUAGUUGGUCGAGGUAACGGCUCACCAAGGCGACGAUGACUAGGGGUUCUGGGAGGAUGAUCCCCCACACUGGUACUGAGAUACGGACCAGACUCCUACGGGAGGCAGCAGUAGGGAAUAUUGGGCAAUGGCGGAAACGCUGACCCAGCCAUGCCGCGUGCCGGAUGAAGGCCUUCUGGUUGUAAACGGCCUUUACCAGGGAAGAACCUACCUUUGCGAAGGGAACUGACGGUACCUGGUGAAUAAGCACCGGCUAACUCCGUGCCAGCAGCCGCGGUAAAAC
rnacentral:rRNA from 1 species